rnacentral:lncRNA from 1 species
CCCAUUCCAAUUUAAAAAUUAAUAUAAAGAUAAUAAUAUUAAUAAAAAUUUAAUAUAAAAAAAAGUCAAAUUUUAUCAAUAAAAAACUAACAAUAAAACCUAAAUUCUCAAAUCAUAAAAAAAAACUUAAAAUCUAAAUUCUCAAAUUAUUAAAAUUAAAAUUUAUUAGUAAUGUUGAUAAGUAUAACACUAGUUACUAUAUUAUUAAAUUAUUAAAUUAAAAUAUUAUGUUUGUUGGACCUAAUUUUUUGCCCGGCCCAAAAACUGUUAAAACCCAAAUACGAAACAAAACACAAGCCCACAUAAAACCUAGCUCAAAUACCAAUAAAACAAAAAAGGAAAUGAGAAACCCAAGCAUCAGGGAAGCCAGCGCCGCAAGCCUGAAUCCGAGUCGUGCGCCACACCACCACCCCGCAAUCUCCGCUUGGCACCAGCAAGCACGCAACAAGUAGUUAGAAAUUAGGCUAUAUAAACUCGUUUAAACAGUGUAAUUUUUUUUAGGUUUUUUGGAUUUAAAAAAGAGAAUAUACGAACAAAUACCACAAGUUACAGAGGAAAAUUGCAGAGAAAUUGAUUGUUAGGUGAUUUUCUUUCAGAUCUCACACCUUUUAAGUUUCGAUUUGUUUUUCUUUCUCAAAAAUAGUACUAGAAAGGGGAAAAGUGAAUACACUUACCGCGUGUUUUAAAACGGGGUUGAGACCCCUAUUGCGUGAUGUCGGCCACUAGAUCUGGUGGUGGUCCGGCGAUGAUGGGCGCGUUCACUGGUCCUAGCAGAGGGAAGAAGGGUGAAAGCCCCUUUGUUUUUUUUUCAGUUUCGGUAAAUGGGGUGUUCUAAUUUUGCUUUAGAAAAUGGCAGACAACCCUUUGGUUUUUCUGGUUUUAAUUGCAAAAGGAAUAGCGCCACUUUACUCUUUUGGGUUUAUUGUGUUUUUGAUCCUUCUGUGAUUUCUAUCUUUUCAAUGUUAUAUAUUUGUUUUUUCAAACUUGUCCCAAAUUUCUGUUUUAGGC